GACGGACGCUGGCGGCGUGCCUAAUACAUGCAAGUAGAACGCUGAAGAGAGGAGCUUACUCUUCUUGGAUGAGUUGCGAACGGGUGAGUAACGCGUAGGUAACCUGCCUUGUAGCGGGGGAUAACUAUUGGAAACGAUAGCUAAUACCGCAUAACAAUGGAUGACACAUGUCAUUUAUUUGAAAGGGGCAAUUGCUCCACUACAAGAUGGACCUGCGUUGUAUUAGCUAGUAGGUGAGGUAAUGGCUCACCUAGGCGACGAUACAUAGCCGACCUGAGAGGGUGAUCGGCCACACUGGGACUGAGACACGGCCCAGACUCCUACGGGAGGCAGCAGUAGGGAAUCUUCGGCAAUGGGGGCAACCCUGACCGAGUAACGCCGCGUGAGUGAAGAAGGUUUUCGGAUCGUAAAGCUCUGUUGUAAGUCAAGAACGGGUGUGAGAGUGGAAAGUUCACACUGUGACGGUAGCUUACCAGAAAGGGACGGCUAACUACGUG
rnacentral:rRNA from 1 species